GACGAACGCUGGCGGCGUGCUUAACACAUGCAAGUCGAACGGAAAGGCCCUGCUUUUGUGGGGUGCUCGAGUGGCGAACGGGUGAGUAACACGUGAGUAACCUGCCCUUUACUUUGGGAUAACUUCAGGAAACUGGGGCUAAUACCGGAUAGGAGCUCCUGCUGCAUGGUGGGGGUUGGAAAGUUUCGGCGGUUGGGUAUGGACUCGCGGCUUAUCAGCUUGUUGGUGGGGUAGUGGCUUACCAAGGCUUUGACGGGUAGCCGGCCUGAGAGGGUGACCGGCCACAUUGGGACUGAGAUACGGCCCAGACUCCUACGGGAGGCAGCAGUGGGGAAUAUUGCACAAUGGGCGGAAGCCUGAUGCAGCAACGCCGCGUGCGGGAUGACGGCCUUCGGGUUGUAAACCGCUUUCGCCUGUGACGAAGCGUGAGUGACGGUAAUGGGUAAAGAAGCACCGGCUAACUACGUG
rnacentral:rRNA from 1 species